UACAGAGGUCUCAAGCGUUGUUCGGAUUCAUUGGGCGUAAAGGGUGUGUAGGUGGCGCGCUAAGUCGGGGUGUGAAAUUUCGGGAGCUUAACUCCGAAACUGCAUUCGAUACUGCCGUGCUUGAGGACUGGAGAGGAGACUGGAAUUUACGGUGUAGCGGUGAAAUGCGUAGAUAUCGUAAGGAAGACCAGUGGCGAAGGCGGGUCUCUGGACAGUUCCUGACGCUGAGGCACGAAGGUCAGGGGGAGCAAACGGG
rnacentral:rRNA from 1 species